AUGGUGCGGCCCGGAGAACGACGCCGUCUCCGUGGGACAGUGGCGCGGCCGGACGCUGGGGUCUCGGGGCUGUCAGGGGAGCUCGGCUGGGCGUCUGGUGGAAAGCCGAGCCCCGGGGGACAGCGGAAGCGGAGGCGAACCCCGCGCUACGGCCCCUUCGGAUCUGGGGCACCGCCCCCGGCCCGCGCAGCCCCUGCCCCGUCAGGAUCCUGGCCGCCCCCGCCGCAGCACAACAAAGCAGCGCAGCCCCGCGGCCCCCACCCGACGCCGGCCUCCAACUUCCCCGGCUCCUCCGGAACCGGCUCCGCGGGCUCUGCACGGCCGAGACGCCGCGCCGCCGGGCGGGGGCGGCUCCGGGCGGGCGCGGACCGUGGGGGCAGGGCGCAGGGCUCAGUCCGGACAAACUUCCUCGGCCGCCCCGCCGGGCGCCCUUCCUGGAGCCUCGGUCCCACGGGACGGGGGAGCCCCGGGCGGCGGCGGUGGCGUGGACGGCGGCUGCUCCAUCUUCCCGGGGCGCUCACGCCGCGGUUCCAAAGCGCAGACCCAAGUGGGACAUUCGCUACAUUGUUGGCAUUCCACGGGCGUCACGUGACCCCGCCUCCCGCGUCACUCUCGGCCGCAUACCAGCCCGGGCGGGGCGCCUGCGGCCCCUGCUCUUCGGCGGCCGCUCCGCCCCGCCCCGCCCCGCCCGGCCGUGCUUCCUGCCUCGGGCCUCGGCCGCCACCUGCCCGCGGCCUCCCUGCUGCCCUGUGGUAGCUCGCCGGGGGCCUCUCGGACCUAUUUGACUCUGUGCUAUCCGCCCCCAAACUUGAGUAUUUGCCCUCUCGGCUGCACUUGUAUUAAAAGUUGGUAACAGUCGUCAAAGGCACUGUUCUUAAGCAUCUCAUACUAGUCUUGGUGGGGGAAAAAAAAAGUUGGCAAACCUGAAGGAGCCACCAAGUUGCCAACUAGGGGAUGGACACUAAGAAUAGGGGAAGAAAAAGGCGGCUAUUGAGACAGUGGAAUCAAGCAAUUAAGAAGAACGUCUGCCGGGCACGGUGGCCCACGUCUGUAAUCCCAGCACUUUGAGAGGCUGAGGUCUCCUGAGGCAGAUCACCUGAGGUCGGGAGUUCGAGACCAGCCUGACCAACAUGGAGAAACUCCAUCUCUACUAAAAACACAAAAUUAGCCGGGCAUGGUAGUGCAUGCCUGUAAUCCCAGCUACUCGGGAGGCCGAGGCAGGAGAAUGGCUCCAACCUGGGAGGCAGAGGUUACAGUGAGCCGAGAUUGACCAAUUGCACUCCAGCCUGGGCAAGAAGAGCGAAACUCCAUUUUUAAAAGAAAAAAAAUAAAAAAGAACGUCUGAUGCACACCCAGAUUUGAUCUGAUUUAAUUUAAUCGACCUCCCCUCCCUGUGUAUAUUUUGUUUCCAAGAAGUGCUUUAUGGUGUAGGGAAUAGUACUGUAUACCAGCAAGUGAGGUCGUGGGUUUUUAACAGCUCCACCAUCUAUCCAUUUGAGGACUGUGGAUCUGCUACAGGGACAGAAGUGGGGAUUAUGCAAAGAUUCAGAGUAGAAAUAAUAGACUGGAAGCCAAAUCCUUAAUCUACUUCUGGCUCUAACAUUAUACUUCUCACCACCCAUGUCUGUGGCAAGUGAUGCUGAGGGUCAAUAUACUUUUAAAGUAAACUCGAUUUUCUCUUUAAUUGAUAAACUCUUGUGAAAUUUUUAAAUUUUACUCUCAUGGUAAACAGUAAUAAAGGUCAUUAUGUGUGCACUUUUUUUUUUUUUUUUUUUUUUUUUGAGAGAGUCUGGCUCUAUAGCCCAAGCUGGAGUGCAGUGGAGCAAUCUCGGCUCACUGCAACCUCCACCUCCCAGGUUCAAGUGAUUCUUCUGCCUAGCCUCUGGAAUAGCUGGGGUUACAGGCACGUGCCACCAUGCCCCGCCAGUUUUUGUAUUUUUAGUAAAGACAGGGUUUCACCAUGUUGGCCAGAAUGGUCUUGAACUCUUGACCUCGUGAUCCUCCUGCCUCAGUCUCCCAAAAGGCCUGGAUUACAGGCGUGAGUCACCGUGCCCAGCCUCUUUUCACUCUUUUUUUUUUUUUUUAAAUUGAGACGGAGUUUCGCUCUUGUUACCCAGGCUGGAGUGCAAUGGCGUGAUCUUGGCUCACCGCAAUCUCUGCCUCCUGGGUUCAGGCAAUUUUCCUGCUUCAGCCUCCCAAGCAGCUGGGACUACAGGCACGCACCACCAUGCCCAGCUAAUUUUUUGUAAUUUUAGUAGAGACAGGGUUUCACCAUGUUGACCAGGAUGGUCUCCAUCUGUUGACCUCGUGAUCCACCCACCUCGGCCUCCCAAAGUACUGGGACUACAGGCUUGAGCCACCGCGCCAGGCCUCUUUUCACUCUUAAACUGACUAUACUUUCUCCACCCCAACCCCAAGCCACAUGGCUGCUAAUCUUUUUUGUUGUGUAUGUAAAAUCCUGCCCCUGCUCUGUCUUCAAAGAUGUAAAUGUAAAUUUAAAAACACUUGUGGAAUGAAAAAUAUUGUAAAAUGAAUUUAAUGGACUUUAAAAUUUGUGCAUAAAAUACCUAAUUAAAAUGCUAAAGUUAUGGCCGGGUGCAGUGGCUCACCCUUGUAAUCCCAGCACUUUGGGAGGCCUAGGCAGGCGGAUCACUUGAGGUCCAGAGUUCGAGAGCAGCCUAAUCAACAUGGAGAAACCCCAUCUCUUCUAAAAAUACAAAAAAUUAGCCAGGUGUGGUAACACAUGCCUGUAAUCCCAGCUACUUGGGAGGCUGAGGCAGAAGAAUCCCUUGAACCGGGAGGCAGAGGUUGCAGUGAGCCGAGAUCGUGCCAUUACACUCCAGCCUCGGCAACAAGAGUGAAACUCUGUCUCAAAAAAAAAAUAAAAUAAAGGUUGAUGUGAUGUGAUAUAGGUGUGGUGGCUCACGUCUUAAUCCCAGCACUUUGGGAGGCCAAGGCAGGUGGAUCACUUGAGGUCAGGAGUUUGAGACCAGCUGGCCAACAUGGUGAAACCCCGUCUUAAAAAGAAAAGAAAGAAAAGUUGAAGUUACAAUGAUUAUUUCAGCAUUGUUUGCAAUAGUGAAAAAUUGAGAAAAACUUCAAAUGUCCAUUCAAGGGGUAGGAAAUUUAAAAGUAGAUAUCCAAACAAUGGAACAUAAUGCGGUAGCUAAGUUAAUGAACUAGCUCUGUAGUUGCCAAAGAAUAAAUGAUGGUAGAAAGAAUCAAAGGCAGUGUAGAGGGAAAAAAAGCAAGUUGCAGAACUAUAUAUAAACUGAUAUAUUUAUAAAUAAAUAAGAUCCCACAGAACCUAAACUAAUCACACACUUCAUAUAAGUGUAGACAUGGAAUGCAAUAUCACACACCAAAUUCAUGACAGCUGUUGCUUAGGUAGAGGGAAGGCGGCAAAUUGAGCUGAAGGAAAAAAACGAAGACUUCAACUUUACAAUGCUUUCUUUUAUUUAAAAAAAAAACUGUCAAAAUCUUAAAAUUUGUUGGCUCUGGGAGGUUGGGUUCAAUAAUGUGUGUUGUAUUAUUCCUUGUGCCUUUCUAAAAAAACUAAAAAUUUAUGUGUGUGUGUGUGUGUGUGUAUACAUAUAUUUGAGACUAGAGACAAAUUGGAAACAGAUAAGGUUCCAAGAUAGGGGCUUGGUAGGAAAAACUGACACACAUGGAAGAAUGUUGUGAUUAAUGAUUUGUGUUUAUUAACAUGGAGUCAUUCGUUCCUUCUCAUUUUUGUUUGUUGUUGUGUGUUUGGCUUUUUUUUUUUUUCUGUUUUGUUUCGUUAUUGGUACCUGCUAUAAGCCAUGUGCUAAGAUAAACCAUACAUGGGAUAACAUGGUGAGCAAAACCACAAGAUUUAUCCCCUGGCGGAGCUUAUAGAGGUGUUCAAGAAAAACGACAUACAGGGCCUGGUGGCUCAUGCCUGUAACCGCAGCACUUAGGGAAGCUGAGAUGGGUGGAUCACUUGAGACCAGGAGUUCAAGACCAGCCUGGCCAACACAGUAAGAUCCCAUCUCUACUUAAAAAAAAAAAAGAAA
ensembl:lncRNA